CCGUUGGAUGAUGAAGAUCUUAUUGAAAAGAUUCUUGAUGGUCUUGAUGAUGACUACAAACCCAUUGUUGACAUCAUCAAUGGUCGUGACACUCUCAUCGCAUUCGAUAAACUCCAUG